AAAUAUCUUAAGGUAUUUACUAACCAAGAUUGGAAUGAUACAGUGAUUAGCAUGGCCUCUGUGCAAGCAUGACACACAAAUUCAUGAAGUGUUCCAGAAGUAU